CAGUAGCCGCGGUAAUACGUAGGGUGCAAGCGUUAAUCGGAAUUACUGGGCGUAAAGCGUGCGCAGGCGGUUUGUUAAGACAGAUGUGAAAUCCCCGGGCUCAACCUGGGAACUGCAUUUGUGACUGGCAAGCUAGAGUGUGGCAGAGGGGGGUGGAAUUCCGCGUGUAGCAGUGAAAUGCGUAGAUAUGCGGAGGAACACCGAUGGCGAAGGCAGCCCCCUGGGCCAACACUGACGCUCAUGCACGAAAGCGUGGGGAGCAAACAGGAUUAGAUACCCGCGUAGUCCCUGUAUCUUAUAC
rnacentral:rRNA from 1 species